AACGAACGCUGGCGGCAUGCCUAACACAUGCAAGUCGAACGAGACCUCCGUGCCUAGUUGCGCUCGGGUGCGUAACGCGGGGGAAGCUGCCCUUAGGUACCGAAUACUUCCCUUUAGGGGGUGCUAAUACAGGAUAAUGUCUUCGGACCAAAGAUUUAUCGCCUUUGGAUGGGCCCGCGUUGGAUUAGCUGGUUGGUAGUGUAAAAGCCUAUCAAGGCGUCGAUCCAUAGCUGGUCUGAGAGGAUGAUCAGCCACACUGGGACUGAGACACGGCCCAGAAUCCUACGGAAGGGAGCAGUGUGGAAUAUUGGACGAUGGGGGAAGGCCUGAUCAAGCCAUGCCGGGUGAGUGAUGAAGGCGUUAGGGAUGUGAAGCUCUUUUACACGGGAUGAUAAUGACGGUACCGGGAGAAUAAGCACCGGCUAACUCCGUG
rnacentral:rRNA from 1 species